CCAGCGCCGAGAGGAGUCGCAGGAACCCGACUUUGAGACAUUUCAGACUCUCGGGAGAGCCUGGCAGUGCCCCCAGAUGGUGAGGAGCAGAAAUGGUCCGAGGCUGCAAAGAUAUGUCCUUGGGAGUCAACUGAGUUCCAAUAGGACAGAGGAGCAGAAUUCCUCCAAGCCCUUCGUUGUCAUUCAUUCAAAACCAUCCAUGUCCAAGCACAAAGCUGAAAAUAGGUCACCACAGGCGAGGAAAACCAGCAUGAAGGAGAAGAGUGGAGAAUUCCUGUUGAAGAGCUAGGCUGGGACAGAUUAUGAAGGAUCUCGAAUGCCAGGCUGAUGAAUCUGGGCUUAAUUUCAAAGACAUUAUGGACAUUCCUAAGACUCUAGGUUUGGGAUAAGGGAAGGAAAAUCUUCAAGAAGAUUAAACUGGAAGCAAUGGAGAAGAAAGAUGGAGAGGCCGACAUGACCCCUCCAAAUAAAUUCCUACAGCCCCCUGA